UACAGAGAGUGCAAACGUUGUUCGGAAUUACUGGGCUUGAAGCGCACGUAGGCGGCGUUGUAAGUGUCGGGUGAAAUCCCACGGCUCACCCGUGGAACUGCCCGGCAUACUGCGAUGCUAGAGUGUGGUAGGGGAGAGCGGAACUCCUGGUGGAGCGGUGAAAUGCGUAGAUAUUCGGAGGAACACCAGAAGCGAAGGCGGCCAACUGGCCCGAUACGUGACGCUGAGGAGCGAAAGCGUGGGGAGCGAACGAG
rnacentral:rRNA from 1 species